rnacentral:rRNA from 1 species
UACGAAGGGGGCUAGCGUUGCUCGGAAUCACUGGGCGUAAAGCGCACGUAGGCGGACUCUUAAGUCGGGGGUGAAAGCCUGUGGCUCAACCACAGAAUUGCCUUCGAUACUGUCGAGCUUGAGACCGGAAGAGGUAAGUGGAACUGCGAGUGUAGAGGUGAAAUUCGUAGAUAUUCGCAAGAACACCAGUGGCGAAGGCGGCUUGCCCAGAAUGCGCUCGACGGUGAGGGAUGAAAGCUGGGGGGAGCAAACCGGG